GUGCCAGCAGCCGCGGUAAUACGUAGGGUGCGAGCGUUGUCCGGAAUUACUGGGCGUAAAGAGCUAGUAGGUGGUUUGUCGCGUCGUCUGUGAAAUCCCGGGGCUUAACUUCGGGCGUGCAGGCGAUACGGGCAUAACUAGAGUGCUGUAGGGGAGACUGGAAUUCCUGGUGUAGCGGUGAAAUGCGCAGAUAUCAGGAGGAACACCGAUGGCGAAGGCAGGUCUCUGGGCAGUUACUGACGCUGAGGAGCGAAAGCAUGGGUAGCGAACAGGAUUAGAUACCCUGGUAGUCCAUGCCGUAAACGGUGGGCGCUAGGUGUGGGGGUUUUAUUUACGAUUCCCGUGCCGUAGCUAACGCAUUAAGCGCCCCGCCUGGGGAGUACGGCCGCAAGGCUAAAACUCAAAGGAAUUGACGGGGGCCCGCACAAGCGGCGGAGCAUGUGGAUUAAUUCGAUGCAACGCGAAGAACCUUACCUGGGCUUGACAUACACCGGAUCGCUGCAGAGAUGUAGUUUCCCUUUGUGGCUGGUGUACAGGUGGUGCAUGGUUGUCGUCAGCUCGUGUCGUGAGAUGUUGGGUUAAGUCCCGCAACGAGCGCAACCCUUGUCUUGUGUUGCCAGCACGUUAUGGUGGGGACUCGCGAGAGACUGCCGGGGUUAACUCGGAGGAAGGUGGGGGAUGACGUCAAAUCAUCAUGCCCCUUUAUGUCCAGGCUUCACACAUGCUACAAUGGUCGGUACAGUGAUUGCGAUACCGUGAGGUGGAGCUAAUCCUUAAGGCGGUCUCAGUUCGAUUGGAGUCUGCACUCGACUUCAUGAAGUCGGAGUCGCUAGUAAUUCGCAGAUCAGCACGCUGGC
rnacentral:rRNA from 1 species